rnacentral:rRNA from 1 species
GUGCCAGCAGCCGCGGUAAAACGUAGGAGGCGAGCGUUAUCCGGAUUCACUGGGCGUAAAGCGCAUGUAGGUGGCUCGUCAAGUCGCCUGUGAAAGCCCCUGGCUUAACUGGGGGAGGUCAGGCGAAACUGACGGACUUGAGGGCCGGAGAGGAAGGUGGAAUUCCCGGUGUAGCGGUGGAAUGCGUAGAGAUCGGGAGGAACACCAGUGGCGAAAGCGACCUUCUGGGCGGCGCCUGACACUGAGAUGCGAAAGCGUGGGGAGCAAACGGGAUUAGAUACCCUCGUAGUCC